CCUACGGGAGGCAGCAGUGAGGAAUAUUGGUCAAUGGACGGAAGUCUGAACCAGCCAUGCCGCGUGCAGGAAGACGGCUCUAUGAGUUGUAAACUGCUUUUGUACAAGGGUAAACCUGAAUACGUGUAUUCAGCUGAAAGUACUGUACGAAUAAGGAUCGGCUAACUCCGUGCCAGCAGCCGCGGUAAUACGGAGGAUCCAAGCGUUAUCCGGAUUUAUUGGGUUUAAAGGGUGCGUAGGCGGAUUGAUAAGUUAGAGGUGAAAUGUCCGAGCUUAACUCAGGAACUGCCUCUAAUACUGUUGAUCUAGAGAGUAGAUGCGGUAGGCGGAAUGUAUGGUGUAGCGGUGAAAGGCUUAGAGAUCAUACAGAACACCGAUUGCGAAGGCAGCUUACCAAUCUAUAUCUGACGUUGAGGCACGAAAGCGUGGGGAGCAAACAGGAUUAGAUACCCCUGUAGUC
rnacentral:rRNA from 1 species